AUGGUGAUGCCCAAUGGGAUCAGUCGAAACUACUGGAAGAGCACCGCCGCAAACUCCCGCGGUGAGAAGGAGAUCAUCAUCUUCUUCGGUGCCAUCUUCAGCGGAGAAGCGCGCAAGGUCCUUGUCAACUUUCAGCUCAAGCCUAGCAAGAACAACCAAAAGUUCAACGCCACCAUAGCCGAGGCCCAGCUCAGCUACAACGCCCAGCAGGGCCUCCAAACCCAAACCCCCAGGAAUAUCAUCAUGACACGCGCGCCCGAACCCACUGGUUCCCCGAGCGUCGACAGCGCCAUCCUGCAUGCCGAGGAGGUGCGCCAGCAGGUCGUCCUCGCGGUCCGCGGGGUCAGUGAGCUAGCCCAAAAACAUAGGCUGGAGGAGGCGCGCUACGAGCUGAAUGAUGCAAAGAAAGCUGUGGAGAAGAUCAUGCUGAACGACGGCCAGAAUAUGGUGAGCGUUCUCCGCGCCGAGUUGCUGCAGCUGAUCAAGCUCACGCAGUCCAUGGAGCUCUACAAGGAGCAGGGCCGCCCCUACGUCCUCGGAACGGAGACGUCACACAGCGCACAGCGUGCCGCAGGCCAUGGAGACACGGUAGCCGUCAGCCUCUACGACACUCCACGCAUGAUCACCUACCUCCAGCAGGCCAAGCAGAUCGAGAACGACCCCAAAGCGCUGGUGCCCUCCGCCGACGAAGACGUCAAGCAUGAGAUCGCUGCAAACCCACUCGCUGCCUUUGCCGGCCCCCUCGACAUCUACCUCGAAAAUGCUAUGAAGGCAUUGCAAGCAAUCCAGAAUAUCGUCCACAGCCACACCAACAACACCUAG
rnacentral:rRNA from 1 species